rnacentral:rRNA from 1 species
AUUGAACGCUGGCGGCAGGCUUAACACAUGCAAGUCGAGCGAGCGGCGGACGGGUGAGUAAUGUCUGGGAAACUGCCUGAUGGAGGGGGAUAACUACUGGAAACGGUAGCUAAUACCGCAUACCAUCAGAUGUGCCCAGAUGGGAUUAGCUAGUAGGUGGGGUAAUGGCUCACCAAGGCGACGAUCCCUAGCUGGGCUGAGAGGGUGACCGGCAACACUGGAACUGAGACACGGUCCAUACUCCUACGGGAGGCAGCAGUGGGGAAUUGUGUACAAUGGACACAAGCCUGAUGCAGCCAUGCCGCGUGUGUGAAGAAGGCCUUCGGGUUGUAAAGCACUUUCAGCGAGGAAGCGUUACUCGCAGAAGAAGCACCGGCUAACUCCGUGCCAGCAGCCGCGGUAAUAC